rnacentral:rRNA from 1 species
UGGGGAAUAUUGCACAAUGGGGGAAACCCUGAUGCAGCGACGCCGCGUGAGUGAAGAAGUAUUUCGGUAUGUAAAGCUCUGUCAGCAGGAGAGAAGCAAGACGGUACCUGACCAAGAAGCCCCGGCUAACUACGUGCCAGCAGCCGCGGUAAUACGUAGGGGGCAAGCGUUAUCCGGAUUUACUGGGUGUAAAGGGAGCGUAGACGGCGAAGCAAGUCUGGAGUGAAAGCCCGCGGCCCAACUGCGGGACUGCUCUGGAAACUGUUUCGCUUGAGUACAGGAGGGGUAAGCGGAAUUCCUGGUGUAGCGGUGAAAUGCGUAGAUAUCAGGAGGAACACCGGUGGCGAAGGCGGCUUACUGGACUGUAACUGACGUUGAGGCUCGAAAGCGUGGGGAGCAAACAGG